GACGAACGCUGGCGGCGUGCUUAACACAUGCAAGUCGAACGGAAAGGCCCUGCUUUUGUGGGGUGCUCGAGUGGCGAACGGGGGAGUAAAACGUGAGGAACCUGCCCUUGACUUUGGGAUAACUUCAGGAAACUGGGGCUAAUACCGGAUAGGAGCUCCUGCUGCAUGGUGGGGGUUGGAAAGGUUCGGCGGUUGGGGAGGGACUCGCGGGGGAUCAGCUUGUUGGUGGGGUAGUGUCUUACCAAGGCUUUGACGGGUAGCCGGCCUGAGAGGGUGACCGGCCACAUUGGGACUGAGAUCCGGCCCAGACUCCUACGGGAGGCAGCAGUGGGGAAUAUUGCACCAUGGGCGGAAGCCUGAUGCCGCAACGCCGCGUGCGGGAUGACGGCCUUCGGGUUGUAAACCGCUUUCGCCUGUGACGAAGCGUUAGUGACGGUAAUGGGUAAAGAAGCACCGGCUAACUACGUG
rnacentral:rRNA from 1 species